rnacentral:rRNA from 1 species
UACGUAGGGGGCAAGCGUUGUCCGGAAUCAUUGGGCGUAAAGAGCGUGUAGGCGGCCCGGUAAGUCCGUUGUGAAAGUCAAGGGCUCAACCCUUGAAUGCCGGUGGAUACUGCAGGGCUAGAGUCCGGAAGAGGCGAGUGGAAUUCCUGGUGUAGCGGUGAAAUGCGCAGAUAUCAGGAGGAACACCGAUGGCGAAGGCAGCUCGCUGGGACGGUACUGACGCUGAGGCGCGAAAGCGUGGGGAGCAAACAGG